rnacentral:rRNA from 1 species
AAGCGGAGGAAAAGAAACCAACAGGGAUUCCCUUAGUAACGGCGAGCGAAAAGGGAAGAGCCCAGCUUGUAAAUCUCCGGGUUUCCGGCGAAUUGUAGUCUGGAGUAGCAACUCUUGAAGCUGUGUCCGCCAAAGCAUCUUGGAAUAGAUCGCCUCAGAGGGUGAGAGCCCCGUAGGCUGGCAUUGGCUUCUUCACGGAGUGCUUACGCAGAGUCGGGUUGUUUGGGAAUGCAGCCCCAAUUGGGUGGUAAACCCCAUCUAAGGCUAAAUACCUGUGGGAGACCGAUAGCAAAAAAGUACCUCGAGGGAACGAUGAAAAGACCGCUGGCAAGCGAGUGAAAGAGUGCAUGAAAUUGUAUAGUGGGAAGGGAUGGCCUGGCGUAUUGCCAACGGGUAUACACUGCUCAUCGAGCUCUUGAAUACACCGUAGGCUGGUUGGUGCCGACACUUGUGCUUGCAAAUCCCCAAACUA